GCCAAUGUGGCAUAGUGGUUUGAGCAUUGGACUACGACUCUGAGGACCAGGGUUCGAUUCCCAGCUCCUCCA